GACGUAGGGCGCGAGCGUUGUCCGGAUUUAUUGGGCGUAAAGAGCUCGUAGGCGGCUUGUCGCGUCGUCCGUGAAAACUUGGGGCUCAACCCCAAGCUUGCGGUCGAUACGGGCAGGCUAGAGUUCGGUAGGGGGAGACUGGAAUUCCUGGUGUAGCGGUGAAAUGCGCAGAUAUCAGGAGGAACACCGGUGGCGAAGGCGGUCUCGUGGGCCGAUACUGACGCUGAGGAGCGAAAGCGUGGGGAGCGAACAGG
rnacentral:rRNA from 1 species